rnacentral:rRNA from 1 species
CAGCAGCCGCGGGAAUACGAAGGGUGCAAGCGUUAAUCGGAAUUACUGGGCGUAAAGCGUGCGUAGGCGGUGAGUUAAGUCUGCUGUGAAAUCCCCGGGCUCAACCUGGGAAUGGCAGUGGAUACUGGCUCGCUAGAGUGUGUCAGAGGAUGGUGGAAUUCCCGGUGUAGCGGUGAAAUGCGUAGAGAUCGGGAGGAACAUCAGUGGCGAAGGCGGCCAUCUGGGACAACACUGACGCUGAGGCACGAAAGCGUGGGGAGCAAACAGGAUUAGAGACCCCUGUAGUCCCUGUCUCUUAUAC